AGCGAACGCUGGCGGCAUGCCUAACGCAUGCAAGUCGCACGGGGGGGCUUCGGCCUCCCAGUGGCGGACGGGUGAGGAACGCGUAGGGACCUGUCGAGGGGUGGGGGAUAACCGCGGGAAACUGCGGCUAAUACCGCAUGACGCCGCGGCGUGACAGCCGGGGCCAAAGGCGAAAGCCGCCCGCCGAGGGGCCUGCGUCCGAUUAGCUGGUUGGCGGGGUAGCGGCCCACCAAGGCGUCGAUCGGUAGCUGGUCUGGGAGGGUGAUCAGCCACACCGUGACUGAGCCACGGCCCGGACUCCUGCGGGAGGCAGCAGUGGGGAAUAUUGGACAAUGGGCGCAAGCCUUGUCCAGCAAUGCCGCGUGGGUGAAGAAGGUCUUCGGAUUGUAAAGCCCUUUCGGCGGGGACGAUGGUGACGGUACCCGCAGAAGAAGCCCCGGCUAACUUCGUG
rnacentral:rRNA from 1 species